CCCACAGAGGGCACCACCUCACACUUAGUUCCUCAUACUUAUUUCCCAGGAGAAUGAGUAAAAAGAGGGUCAACAUCACCCUUUCAAAGACUUACUUCCUCAGUCACAGAUGUUCAUUGGUCUCUGCACUUUUAAGGAGUCAGGUUUGAGAGCUCAGAAGGGGCUGCUGCUCAGUCAUCUGUUGUUACCCUGCUGCUUCCAACAGGAUGGAGGUUGGGAGGUCAUCCUGCCUGGGACUUGUGAAAGGAGACUGAGAAAGAGCAGACCCAGGUGAGAUGUUUUCUGUUUGUUCUGACAGGAUCACACUAAGUUUAAUGUACAAUUACAUGUUGAUUACCUAAGCAUGCUUAUUACUGGUAUUUUAUGUUAGCUUUUAAUAACACAAGUAAAUAUUAUUAUGCUAUUUACAGAUGAGGGAAGUGGGCUCGAGAGUGGAUGAGUGAUGGGGCCGAUGUCACAUUUCGGAAGUGGCGGGCUCAGAUCAGGUCAGGUCUGUUUAGGCGCCAUGGAAAGUGAGGCCAUCAGGUGAUUCAGGCAGAAAAGAAGUGGCCACUCUUGAUGCUGUACCAGGUGGACUGCCUCAUAGGGUAAGGAGACAUUCUUCCAGGGGCUUA
rnacentral:lncRNA from 1 species